ACGACGCUGGCGGCGUGCCUAAUACAUGCAAGUCGAGCGAACAGAAGGGAGCUUGCUCCCGGAUGUUAGCGGCGGACGGGUGAGUAACACGUGGGUAACCUGCCUGUAAGACUGGGAUAACUCCGGGAAACCGGAGCUAAUACCGGAUAGUUCCUUGAACCGCAUGGUUCAAGGAUGAAAGACGGUUUCGGCUGUCACUUACAGAUGGACCCGCGGCGCAUUAGCUAGUUGGUGGGGUAAUGGCUCACCAAGGCGACGAUGCGUAGCCGACCUGAGAGGGUGAUCGGCCACACUGGGACUGAGACACGGCCCAGACUCCUACGGGAGGCAGCAGUAGGGAAUCUUCCGCAAUGGACGAAAGUCUGACGGAGCAACGCCGCGUGAGUGAUGAAGGUUUUCGGAUCGUAAAGCUCUGUUGUUAGGGAAGAACAAGUGCGAGAGUAACUGCUCGCACCUUGACGGUACCUAACCAGAAAGCCACGGCUAACUACGUGCCAGCAGCCGCGGUAAUACGUAGGUGGCAAGCGUUGUCCGGAAUUAUUGGGCGUACCGGGCUCGCAGGCGGUUUCUUAAGUCUGAUGUGAAAGCCCCCGGCUCAACCGGGGAGGGUCAUUGGAAACUGGGAAACUUGAGUGCAGAAGAGGAGAGUGGAAUUCCACGUGUAGCGGUGAAAUGCGUAGAGAUGUGGAGGAACACCAGUGGCGAAGGCGACUCUCUGGUCUGUAACUGACGCUGAGGAGCGAAAGCGUGGGGAGCGAACAGGAUUAGAUACCCUGGUAGUCCACGCCGUAAACGAUGAGUGCUAAGUGUUAGGGGGUUUCCGCCCCUUAGUGCUGCAGCUAACGCAUUAAGCACUCCGCCUGGGGAGUACGGUCGCAAGACUGAAACUCAAAGGAAUUGACGGGGGCCCGCACAAGCGGUGGAGCAUGUGGUUUAAUUCGAAGCAACGCGAAGAACCUUACCAGGUCUUGACAUCCUCUGACAACCCUAGAGAUAGGGCUUUCCCUUCGGGGACAGAGUGACAGGUGGUGCAUGGUUGUCGUCAGCUCGUGUCGUGAGAUGUUGGGUUAAGUCCCGCAACGAGCGCAACCCUUGAUCUUAGUUGCCAGCAUUCAGUUGGGCACUCUAAGGUGACUGCCGGUGACAAACCGGAGGAA
rnacentral:rRNA from 1 species